GCUGAUGCGUUGUUGGGUAGGGGAGCGUUCUGUAAGCCUGCGAAGGUGACCUGUGAGGGUUGCUGGAGGUAUCAGAAGUGCGAAUGCUGACAUAAGUAACGAUAAAGCGGGUGAAAAGCCCGCUCGCCGGAAGACCAAGGGUUCCUGUCCAACGUUAAUCGGGGCAGGGUGAGUCGACCCCUAAGGCGAGGCCGAAAGGCGUAGUCGAUGGGAAACGGGUUAAUAUUCCCGUACUUGGUGUUACUGCGAAGGGGGGACGGAGAAGGCUAUGUUGGCCGGGCGACGGUUGUCCCGGUUUAAGCGUGUAGGUGUGUGUUCCAGGUAAAUCCGGUUCACUUUAACACUGAGGCGUGAUGACGAGGCACUACGGUGCUGAAGCAACAAAUGCCCUGCUUCCAGGAAAAGCCUCUAAGCAUCAGGUAACAUCAAAUCGUACCCCAAACCGACACAGGUGGUCAGGUAGAGAAUACCAAGGCGCUUGAGAGAACUCGGGUGAAGGAACUAGGCAAAAUGGUGCCGUAACUUCGGGAGAAGGCACGCUGACACGUAGGUGAAGUGAUUUACUCACGGAGCUGAAGUCAGUCGAAGAUACCAGCUGGCUGCAACUGUUUAUUAAAAACACAGCACUGUGCAAACACGAAAGUGGACGUAUACGGUGUGACGCCUGCCCGGUGCCGGAAGGUUAAUUGAUGGGGUCAGCGCAAGCGAAGCUCCUGAUCGAAGCCCCGGUAAACGGCGGCCGUAACUAUAACGGUCCUAAGGUAGCGAAAUUCCUUGUCGGGUAAGUUCCGACCUGCACGAAUGGCGUAAUGAUGGCCAGGCUGUCUCCACCCGAGACUCAGUGAAAUUGAACUCGCUGUGAAGAUGCAGUGUACCCGCGGCAAGACGGAAAGACCCCGUGAACCUUUACUAUAGCUUGACACUGAACAUUGAGCCUUGAUGUGUAGGAUAGGUGGGAGGCUUUGAAGUGUGGACGCCAGUCUGCAUGGAGCCGACCUUGAAAUACCACCCUUUAAUGUUUGAUGUUCUAACGUGGACCCGUAAUCCGGGUUGCGGACAGUGUCUGGUGGGUAGUUUGACUGGGGCGGUCUCCUCCUAAAGAGUAACGGAGGAGCACGAAGGUUGGCUAAUCCUGGUCGGACAUCAGGAGGUUAGUGCAAUGGCAUAAGCCAGCUUGACUGCGAGCGUGACGGCGCGAGCAGGUGCGAAAGCAGGUCAUAGUGAUCCGGUGGUUCUGAAUGGAAGGGCCAUCGCUCAACGGAUAAAAGGUACUCCGGGGAUAACAGGCUGAUACCGCCCAAGAGUUCAUAUCGACGGCGGUGUUUGGCACCUCGAUGUCGGCUCAUCACAUCCUGGGGCUGAAGUAGGUCCCAAGGGUAUGGCUGUUCGCCAUUUAAAGUGGUACGCGAGCUGGGUUUAGAACGUCGUGAGACAGUUCGGUCCCUAUCUGCCGUGGGCGCUGGAGAACUGAGGGGGGCUGCUCCUAGUACGAGAGGACCGGAGUGGACGCAUCACUGGUGUUCGGGUUGUCAUGCCAAUGGCACUGCCCGGUAGCUAAAUGCGGAAGAGAUAAGUGCUGAAAGCAUCUAAGCACGAAACUUGCCCCGAGAU
rnacentral:rRNA from 1 species